rnacentral:lncRNA from 1 species
GGUAAUCCGCAACCUCUAAAAUACUAGCACACCUUCAAGAAGAGGGGUAAUCCACUCUCUAACAAGAAGGAACUAGCUCUGAUACCAGUGAAAAUGUAGUCUCGACAAACUGUCACGGACACAAAAUACAGACUUAAAAUCUAACAAGAAGUUCAAGAAGAAGUGGUAGAACUAGAUUAAACAGAUGAGUACAAGAACAACACCAGAAAGGUGAGCUAGAACUCUAAGAGAUGUGUUG